UACGGAGGAUCCAAGCGUUAUCCGGAAUCAUUGGGUUUAAAGGGUCCGUAGGUGGACGAUUAAGUCAGAGGUGAAAUCCUGCAGCUCAACUGUAGAAUUGCCUUUGAUACUGGUUGUCUUGAAUCAUUGUGAAGUGGUUAGAAUAUGUGGUGUAGCGGUGAAAUGCAUAGAUAUCACAUAGAAUACCGAUUGCGAAGGCAGAUCACUAACAAUGUAUUGACACUGAUGGACGAAAGCGUGGGGAGCGAACAGGAUUAGAUACCCUGGUAGUCCACGCCGUAAACGAUGGAUACUAGCUGUCCGGACUUCGGUCUGGGUGGCUAAGCGAAAGUGAUAAGUAUCCCACCUGGGGAGUACGUUCGCAAGAAUGAA
rnacentral:rRNA from 1 species